UGCUUUCUGCCCCACUGGCGACGCUCACUCCACAAGGGAAAUGACUGGAUGGUGUUGUUCCUGCAGUUGACCGGCAUCUAGAGAUUUAACAAAUGACUGAAUGAGUGACCACCAGCAGAGAAAGGGUUUGCCCAGGGCUGGCUGUUAUUUUCAGUCGUGUUUCAUUCUUCCCCGGUUGAGAGGCACAUUUACCCAACUGACGGCAAGGCUGGUUCCGGGACAAACCUCCUGGUCUGUUGCCUUGGAUACCAGGGAGGAGACAGGGAGUGUCCCGGUUAACCACAAACUAAGCUUUCUUGAUUUUAAAAUAACAAAGGAGGGGAAAGAAAGGUAGCGGGCAAGUCCCAAGGGAAGGGGAUUUGAAAAGGGAUUGGGGCACCAAAGAAGAGGAUGUAUUGGAAGGGAUAUUGAGAGACCAGCAGUGGCUGGGUCACCAUGGAAACGCUGUGUGGCGCCUGGACCGGAAGACAAGCUGCUGCUUCAAAGUGAAUUUCAACUUUGCAGCUUGGAAGUACACAUUCCCCCGGGGCCUGACCCUGUGGACUUGCCCGGAGCUGGCCUGUGCACUGGAGGAUGGUUAGCGGCAUCCCCGGCCUCUACCCAGGAACAGCCUCCGCCCGCCAGCAAAAUGUCUCCCGACCCUGCAAAUGUCUCCUGAGUUAAGAUAUCCGUUGAAUUCUGCAGGAUAUGUUCUUCUGCAUCGUGCCUUCUCUUGCUCAGCACGUUUUUGUGAUUUUUUUCUGUGCGGUUGGUGUACCCGUCGUUCAUUUCUUUUCACUUUUGAGGAGUAUUCCAUCAUGAAAAGAAGUCACCAUUUACUUAUUCAUUUUCCUGUUGAUGGACACCUGGGUGGCUCCCAGUGGGGUGCUGCUAUGAGUAAAGUUACUAUCAGUAUUCA